UACGAAGGGGGCUAGCGUUGUUCGGAAUCACUGGGCGUAAAGGGCGCGUAGGCGGCCGAUCAAGUCGGGGGGUGAAAGCCUGUGGCUUAACCACAGAAUGGCCUCGAUACUGUUUGGCUUGAGACCGGAAGAGGUUAGUGGAACUGCGAGUGUAGAGGUGAAAUUCGUAGAUAUUCGCAAGAACACCAGUGGCGAAGGCGGCUGACUGGUCCGGUUCUGACGCUGAGGCGCGAAAGCGUGGGGAGCAAACAGG
rnacentral:rRNA from 1 species